rnacentral:rRNA from 1 species
UACGUAGGGUGCGAGCGUUGUCCGGAAUUACUGGGCGUAAAGAGCUCGUAGGUGGUUUGUCGCGUUGUUCGUGAAAACUCACAACUCAAUUGUGGGCGUGCGGGCGAUACGGGCAGACUGGAGUACUGCAGGGGAGACUGGAAUUCCUGGUGUAGCGGUGGAAUGCGCAGAUAUCAGGAAGAACACCCGUGGCGAAGGCGGUUCUCUGGGACGGUACUGACGCUGAGACGCGAAAGCGUGGGGAGCGAACAGG